rnacentral:rRNA from 1 species
CGGUGGAGCAUGUGGUUAAUUCGAAGCAACGCGAAGAACCUUACCAGGUCUUGACAUCCCGAUGCUAUUUCUAGAGAUAGAAAGUUACUUCGGUACAUCGGUGACAGGUGGUGCAUGGUUGUCGUCAGCUCGUGUCGUGAGAUGUUGGGUUAAGUCCCGCAACGAGCGCAACCCCUAUUGUUAGUUGCCAUCAUUCAGUUGGGCACUCUAGCGAGACUGCCGGUAAUAAACCGGAGGAAGGUGGGAUGACGUCAAAUCAUCAUGCCCCUUAUGACCUGGGCUACACACGUGCUACAAUGGUUGGUACAACGAGUUGCGAGUCGGUGACGGCGAGCUAAUCUCUUAAAGCCAAUCUCAGUUCGGAUUGUAGGCUGCAACUCGCCUACAUGAAGUCGGAAUCGCUAGUAAUCGCGGAUCAGCACGCCGCGGUGAAUACGUUCCCGGGCCUU